rnacentral:lncRNA from 1 species
UAUUUCUUCUUGUGGAUGAACUAUAACUGCUUCACUCAUGAUGUCAUACUGCCUUCUCAAAGUGGAACAGAUUAUAGGUGGGAAAACGGGAGAGCAACUGAUGUAAAAAGUAAAAAAACCAGAGAGAUAAUUGCUUCCAAUUCAAAAGCUAGGAAAGAACUGCAGCUAUUUACAAAAUGUAGAUAUACAAAUGUAAACUACUGCAAGAUAGAUCAGUUGGGUAUUGCAACACUUUGGUCUUUAGAAAGGAAGAAGUCCAUUGUAGUGAACAACACUAAUUAGAAGACACAGCAAUUUGGUUUGUCCAGAUGUUGACUAUAAAUCCAGUUGAUGGGAUAAAGUUUUGAAGAGCUUGCCAUUAUUGAGAACUAGACAAAUCAGAGCUCCCAUCCCAGUUCAUGCAUUAGAAAAGUAAAUGAAUUACAAUUUGUUCAAUGUAAUUAUUAUACUGACAGAACUGUUAUCUUGAACCUAUACAGAUAAAAUAAAAAGUUACCAUGGCUGAUCAAUAUUAGGAUAUAUGAUAUGAUAUAACAAGAACUAUUUUCCUGAAUCUAUUAUGUUUGAUAAGAAUUGAUGAGUGAUGUGUCCAUUUUAGCUCUGGUUUCAAGAUACUUGCCAAUAAAAUCCUAUCCAGUUUUGACAGGUCCAUUUCCCCAGCCCCAACUCGGAAUUUCAUAAAAAGUUUUGUUUCAUCGUUUUGUGCUGAAUUGUGCUGCAAAAGUUUCGUUUUGUG